rnacentral:rRNA from 1 species
UACGAAGGGGGCUAGCGUUGUUCGGAAUUACUGGGCGUAAAGCGCGCGUAGGCGGCUUGUUAAGUCGGAUGUGAAAUCCCUGGGCUCAACCUAGGCAUUGCAUUCGAUACUGGCAAGCUAGAGUAUGGGAGAGGAAGGUAGAAUUCCAGGUGUAGCGGUGAAAUGCGUAGAUAUCUGAAGGAACAUCAGUGGCGAAAGCGACUUCCUGGACCAAUACUGACGCUCAUGUGCGAAAGCGUGGGGAGCAAACAGG